rnacentral:rRNA from 1 species
AUGCCUUAUAUAUACAGAAUGGAGAGGGAUUUCAUCCAUAUUAAAAUGCAUCACGGGGGUUCUUUUUCAAUGGAAGGUCCACUUACUUAUGAUGGAGGCGAAGUAUCUAUUUUUCGAAAUUGUGACAGUGAGCGUACAUUCUAUUUUCGUCUAGUUCGCAUGGCUAAAGAUGUAGGUUUCAAGGAUGGCGAUGAGUUAUAUUAUACAGUUCCUGGGUGUAGCCUUGAUGAAGGAAUUGAUCUAGUUCACGAUGAUAAUUCUAUUCGUAAGAUGUUGAACUUCGCAAAGAAACACAACUUUGCAGAAAUCUAUGUUAAUCAUAAAGGCCAUGAAAGUGCUUCUGCUAAUCCAAAUCCAAGACCUCCUCCGGACAGUAACAAGAAACUUCCAGCGGAGGUACUUCACCAAAAAAAGUUAUUUUUCUGCAUGCAUUAUUUUUCUUGGGUGCUCAUGUGUGACUUGCUGAUUGCUUGUUGUUUGGUUGUGUGGUGUUUAUCGCAUCCUAUCUUCUUUCUUAUAGCUGAUGCUUGUACAUAA